rnacentral:rRNA from 1 species
CGUAGGGUGCGAGCGUUAAUCGGAAUUACUGGGCGUAAAGCGUGCGCAGGCGGUUUAGUAAGACAGGCGUGAAAUCCCCGGGCUCAACCUGGGAACUGCGCUUGUGACUGCUAAGCUAGAGUACGGCAGAGGGGGUGGAAUUCCACGUGUAGCAGUGAAAUGCGUAGAGAUGUGGAGGAACACCAAUGGCGAAGGCAGCCCCCUGGGUCGAUACUGACGCUCAUGCACGAAAGCGUGGGUAGCAAACAGGAUUAGAUACCCUGGUAGUCCACGCCCUAAACGAUGUCAACUAGGUGUUGGGAGGGUAAAACCUUUUAGUACCGGAGCUAACGCGUGAAGUUGACCGCCUGAGGAGUACGGCCGCAAGGUUA